GUUAUGCUUGGAUGAGAAGGGAUAUGUUCUGCCUAUGUCUCAGUGGGAUCACACAUACAGGAGGAUUGCACUAUGUUUGGAUGGUGAAAAACGUUUCUGUAGCAACACACAGCACCUGCUGGGGAAGGAAGCCACUAAAAGGAGACACCUCCGCAGGAUGGGCUAUGAGGUGGUGCAGAUCCCUUACUUUGAAUUUGAGAAGCUGACAACUCAGGAGGAACAGGUCCAAUAUCUUCACAACAAGAUCUCUCCCACCA